rnacentral:rRNA from 1 species
UUGAUACUAAGCCAUGCGAGUCUUUGUAGUAAUACAAGGCAGACGGCUCAGUAACACGUAGUCAACCUACCCUAUGGACAAGAAUAAUCUCGGGAAACUGGGCAUAAUUCUUGAUAGAUCAUAAUGCCUGGAAUGGUUUAUGGUUAAAAUGAUUCGUCGCCAUAGGAUGGGACUGCGGCCUAUCAGCUUGUUGGUGAGGUAAUGGCCCACCAAGGCGAUUACAGGUACGGGCUCUGAGAGGAGAAGCCCGGAGAUGGGUACUGAGACACGGACCAGGCCCUAUGGGGCGCAGCAGGCGAGAAAACUUUGCAAUGUGCGAAAGCACGACAAGGUUAAUCCGAGUGAUUUCUGCUAAAGAAAUCUUUUGCCAGUCAUAAAACCACUGGUGAAUAAGGGGUGGGCAAGUUCUGGUGUCAGCCGCCGCGGUAAAACCAGCACCUCAAGUGGUCAGGAUGAUUAUUGGGCCUAAAGCAUCCGUAGCCGGCUUUGUAAGUUUUCGGUUAAAUCCAUGUGCUCAACGCAUGGGCUGCCGAAAAUACUGCAUGGCUAGGGAGUGGGAGAGGUAGACGGUACUCAGUAGGAAGGGGUAAAAUCCUUUGAUCUAUUGAUGACCACCUGUGGCGAAGGCGGUCUACCAGAACACGUUCGACGGUGAGGGAUGAAAGCUGGGGGAGCAAACCGGAUUAGAUACCCGGGUAGUCCCAGCUGUAAACGAUGCAGACUCGAUGAUGCAUUGGCAUAAUAGCCAGUGCAGUGUCGCAGGGAAGCCGUUAAGUCUGCCGCCUGGGAAGUACGUACGCAAGUAUGAAACUUGAAGGAAUUGGCGGGGGAGCACCACAAGGGGUGAAGCCUGCGGUUCAAU